rnacentral:rRNA from 1 species
GGACGCUCAUGAGGGUUUCGGCCCUUGUGGGAGUGGCGGACGGGUGAGUAGCGCGUGGGAACCUGCCCUCUUGUGGGGGAUAACCGAGGGAAACUUCGGCUAAUACCGCAUGCGCCCCUGGGGGAGACCUUAGGGGGAAAGAUUUAUCGCAGGAGGAGGGGCCCGCGUCGGAUUAGGUAGUUGGUGGGGUAACGGCCUACCAAGCCUGUGAUCCGUAGCUGGUCUGAGAGGAUGAUCAGCCACACUGGGACUGAGACACGGCCCAGACUCCUACGGGAGGCAGCAGUGGGGAAUAUUGGACAAUGGGCGCAAGCCUGAUCCAGCAAUGCCGCGUGGGUGAUGAAGGCCUUCGGGUUGUAAAGC